rnacentral:rRNA from 1 species
UACGUAGGUGGCAAGCGUUGUCCGGAAUUAUUGGGCGUAAAGAGCGCGUAGGCGGUCCGAUAAGUCGGCUGUGAAAGUCCAGGGCUCAACCCUGGAAAGCCGGCCGAUACUGUCGGACUAGAGUCCGGAAGAGGCAAGUGGAAUUCCCGGUGUAGCGGUGAAAUGCGCAGAUAUCGGGAGGAACACCAAUUGCGAAGGCAGCUUGCUGGGACGGUACUGACGCUGAGGCGCGAAAGCGUGGGGAGCGAACAGG